rnacentral:rRNA from 2 species
UGGGGAAUCUUGCGCAAUGGGCGAAAGCCUGACGCAGCCAUGCCGCGUGAAUGAUGAAGGUCUUAGGAUUGUAAAAUUCUUUCACCGGGGACGAUAAUGACGGUACCCGGAGAAGAAGCCCCGGCUAACUUCGUGCCAGCAGCCGCGGUAAUACGAAGGGGGCUAGCGUUGCUCGGAAUUACUGGGCGUAAAGGGAGCGUAGGCGGAUAGUUCAGUCAGAGGUGAAAGCCCAGGGCUCAACCUUGGAAUUGCCUUUGAUACUGGCUGUCUUGAGUAUGGGAGAGGUUAGCGGAACUCCGAGUGUAGAGGUGAAAUUCGUAGAUAUUCGGAAGAACACCAGUGGCGAAGGCGGCUAACUGGCCCAUUACUGACGCUGAGGCUCGAAAGCGUGGGGAGCAAACA